rnacentral:rRNA from 1 species
GAUCAUGGCUCAGGACGAACGCUGGCGGCGUGCCUAACACAUGCAAGUCGAACGGAGUUGGGGAGCUUGCUCUUCAACUUAGUGGCGGACGGGUGAGUAACGCGUGAGUAACCUGCCUCUGAGAGGGGAAUAACGUUUUGAAAAGAACGCUAAUACCGCAUAACGUAUUGAAUCCGCAUGGAUAUGAUACCAAAGAUUUUAUCGCUCGGAGAUGGACUCGCGUCCGAUUAGUUAGUUGGUGAGGUAACGGCUCACCAAGACCGCGAUCGGUAGCCGGACUGAGAGGUUGAUCGGCCACAUUGGGACUGAGACACGGCCCAGACUCCUACGGGAGGCAGCAGUGGGGGAUAUUGCGCAAUGGGGGCAACCCUGACGCAGCAACGCCGCGUGAAGGAUGAAGGUUUUCGGAUUGUAAACUUCUUUUAUCAGGGACGAACAACGACGGUACCUGAUGAAUAAGCUCCGGCUAACUACGUGCCAGCAGCUGC